AUGUGGGAGAUGGACGCGCUGCUCUACUGCGCGGUCGUCGCGCUGGCGCUUCACUGCGUCGGCUGUGGCUGCUCCGCGAUCAACCUUGAAGGCUCAGCGCUGCUCAAGUUCCAGUCGAGGGUGCAGGAGGAUCCGCAUGGCGCCAUGGCAGGCUGGAGCGCGCGGGACGCCGACCCUUGCGGUUGGAACGGCGUCCGCUGCGCCGAUGACAGGGUUGUGAUGCUGAACCUAAAAGAUCUCUCAUUAAGAGGUACCCUGGGUCCAGAAUUAGGAAGUCUUGGUCAUCUGCAGGCUCUUAUAUUAUCCAACAAUUUGUUUAGUGGACUGAUACCUAAGGAAAUUGGUGCACUCGCAACGUUGGAGAUAUUGGACCUAAGUUAUAACAACUUGACUGGGGAAGUUCCACAGAAGAUAGCAGAAAUUGCAUCACUUAAGCAUUUAUUGCUUUCCAACAACAGAUUUCAGUGGCCCGUAGUCCAAAAUUCCCAUGGGAACUUUGAUCAGGAAGCUGAUUUUGACAUAUAUGAUCAUCUCGGGAGGGGUAAUUUGAAUCAAAGAGCUGAUGAUGGGUUCAAGUCUGGUUCUUCCACAGAGGAGAAAAAAAAAGACACUAGCAAUCUCUCCGCAAGAAACCCAGCUGCACAGGUUAGUAGGCGCAGACUACUUCAGGAUAGCAAUCUUGCUGCGCCUCCUUUCGCAAAUGCUCCUCUUCCACCCUCGGUUCCUGUUCCUUCUACGGGGAGUGGAUCGUUUUCAGCAUUUAGUCCCAAAGCACCCGCACCUGCUGUAAAUCCUCCAGUUACUCCACCCAAGUCUCCUGAUACUCCUUCGGAAGCAGGGUCAACAAGAUCUAUGAAGUGGUUGUAUGCAAUUCUGAUUCCAUCAAUUGCUCUGUUGCUUAUUAUCAUUGCAUGCAUGCUUUUGCUAUGCCGCAAUAAGUCGGUGGCAACAAUAGGUCCAUGGAAGACUGGACUCAGUGGCCAGCUGCAGAAGGCAUUUGUGACAGGAGUACCCAAGCUGCAACGCUCAGAGCUGGAAGGUGCUUGUGAGGACUUCAGUAACAUUGUGGCAACCUAUCCACACUACACUGUUUACAAGGGAACCUUAUCAAGUGGAGUUGAGAUAGCAGUUGUAUCAACUGUGCUUGCGUCCAGCAAAGAUUGGUCAAAGCAUUCCGAGGGGAGAUUCCGGAAAAAGAUAGACUCGCUCUCAAGAAUUAAUCAUAAGAACUUCAUCAACUUGCUUGGGUACUGCGAGGAGGAGGAGCCUUUCAUGAGGAUGAUGGUGUUAGAAUACGCAGCCAAUGGGACACUCUAUGAGCAUCUCCACGUUGAGGGAUUUGAUCAUAUUGAUUGGAAUGGUAGGAUGAGAAUAAUUAUGGGAGUAGCAUACUGCAUGCAGUACAUGCAUGAGCUCAAGCCUUGUAUAACACACUCUGAGCUACAGUCAAGUGCCAUAUUGUUAUCCGAGGAUGGAGCUGCAAAGAUAGCCGACAUGAGUGUUUGGCAAGAAGUAAUUUCCAAAGAAAAGAUGCCCAAGAAUGACGACGCCAGUGAACACCAUGAGCCAGUACGUGCUGAUCCAGCUGGGAAUGUAUGUAGUUUUGGUCUACUCAUGCUGGAAAUCAUGUCAGGAAAGCCUCCAGAUUCUGAACACGAGGGCUCUCUUGCGAACUUAGCUAUGGAGUGCAUUAAGGAUGACCGGAGUAUAUCCUGUUUGCUUGACCCUACCUUGACGACUCACAAAGAAAACGAUCUAGAUAUCAUUUGCGAGUUGAUUGAGGACUGCAUCCAGAGCGAUCCGAAAAAGAGACCAAGUAUGAGAGAGGUCACCACUAAAUUGCGAGAAGUGCUAGCGAUUUCACCAGAGGCAGCAACGCCGAGGUUAUCUCCGCUUUGGUGGGCAGAGCUUGAGAUACUUUCAGUUGAAUCCUAG
rnacentral:rRNA from 1 species